GAGGAAGAAGAUAAAUGAGAGAGAGAAAGAAGAUAGGCAAAAGAGGUGAGGAAGAGGAAAGAUGGAAGAGCAUACCUAAAAACUAAGCAAAAACCUAACUGGAGGGAUAUUAAAUUGGGAAAUAGCCUUCUAUGCCACCCAUUUCAUAAUUUUAACUAAAAAUACCACCCCUUCCCAAUUUUUUUACAACUAUCAACUAUAAAUAUAAAAUUAUUGUCCACUUAUUACUGAUUUUUCCCAAGUUCAGAAAUUAGCUUCUCUCUCAACUCUCUUCGCUCUAUCUCUUCGGCCCGUCUCUCUCCCUCGUGUACCUCUCUCUCUCCAACGCAAUUGUCUUUCUCCCUCAGCAGUGGCUGUUCAUCCUCUCCACCGUUGACAUCCACGAGAUUGUCAAUGGUCCACAGUCCACAUUUGAGACCGAGAACGCCUCAGUCACCACUGCCAUCACUCUCCAUCGCUCAUUAGCUUGUUUCUUCAGAAGACAAAUCAUUCUCUCAAGCUCUUUUCAGAAUUCGAUCAUCUGGUUCUUGAAUGGAGCUUGCAAAACCAAGGUCAAAUCCUUUGGUCAAGAAACUCUAGCAGAUUCUUUGACUCUGAGAGCUCAAAAAAUUUCAUACAUGAAAUGGCUUUAGAUGCUAAUGGGAGGAGACUGUUGGUAACCUCUGGUUCAGUAAGAGCACCCAUAUAUCAGGUUCGGGAUCAUGCUAUUGGGUUGAGAACUCUCCCACACAGUGCAGCAAUAACUACUGUCGAUUGGCACCCAACUUUGCCUCUAUUCGUAACAGGAUCAGCUGAUAACUCUGUCCGAGUCACAUCUAUGUCAUAAAGGUUUCUGAUUUGAUCUCUUUGUUCUUGGUGUGCUUGAGGUUGAAUAAAGUUCACUCCGGGUUUGUUUGAACAGGUUUCACUCUGGCUUUCAUCUGAGCAGGUUGUCUUGUAUUCUUAUGUAGGUGUAAAUCAUUGAACAGUUUGUUUUAUAGAGCAUAGCCAUUCUUCGAAAGUUUGGGCAUGUCCGUGUUGUGUGGCAUUAUCUAUCUGCUUCAUGCUUCGCAUAAAAAUAAAAGAUGGAAGUUUAGGGCCCGUUUCGAUACUAAGAUUUGAAUUUGAUAUCUAUUGAUUAUAAAUAUGUGCAUUUCAAAUUUAUAAAUUUGAAAUCAACAUGUUUGGUUUACAUAUUUUACAACAAGAAUUUCAGUCAAGGAUUUCAAAUGUUCUAAGAAUCGCUAGGCAGUAGGUGGGCGGCAUGCAGGGAAUUGGGGCCUAGGCGGGCGCCUAGGUGUUUCAUUUUUUUUAUAAUUAUUUUGUAUUAUAAAUUUAUACCAAAAUCAUGCAAAAUAAAAGGAUUUAUAAAAGAAAACUUUAACAUUUUCUGACCUCUAUAUUAUCUGACUUUUACUUUUUCCUAUGUAUCUCUGACUUUGUUUUUUCCC